rnacentral:lncRNA from 1 species
CACAUCGUGAUGCUUAUUUUAUCCAGGAGUUCUAGGUAAGACCACUUUUUCAAAUAUCCUCUGAACGUUGACUUAGGUGCACACACCUGUGCUUCCAUUGGCAACAAAAGCUUUGAAUGCACAGGACUUCCACGGCAUGAAAUGCAUUUACAUACAUUACAUAAGAGAGAAGCAAUGAGCAAGUCUGUUGCUGGGAGAGGCUCACAUCCUUCUCACCAAAUCAAUCUGUAACUUUCAAAUAGCUCUGCUGUAUUUCCUAGCAACAGGAGUAAACACUGUACUACAUCCAGUGCCCAAGAUUUGUAACCACGUUAAUCUGUUAGAAGCCUAGAUGUGUGACUGGAGAUGCCUCCUGUCCAUUCAAUCUGACUCCAAUGUGGUUCUGCAGCACUGGACAAAGAUGGGAGAUUGAAACAGGAGCCCCUGCGAUGGGGGAACAGAGCCAGGGAGCAGGGGUUGGACAGAACCCAGGUUUGAGAAAACAACCUUGUGAACCUUCUAUUGGAGCAGCAAUAAAGAUCUGAGCUAAGUGUCGAGGGAGGCUGAGGAGGUGGUCACUAAGUCUGUCUUAGGCAUCCCAGGGUCUCCUCAGAGUCCAAGCCUGAAGUCCACUGCAGGGGUCACCAGCCACCUGUGGCCACAUUGGAAUGUGGCCAUUCUGAAUUGAGGAGUUAAGCCUAAAGCUGCAGAUGAAAAUUUUGCCACCAUGAAGAAAAGAAGAAAUCAGAAUUGGAUUCUUUCUGAACUUUUCCUUUACAGUAGCCAGUAUAUGCCCUUUCCUACUUGAGCAAGUAUAAACUGGGUUUCUGUGAUUUGCAACCAAGUGUCCUGACAAACACAAGGAUGAAAGACAACUGUGUCUCAAUAAAGGAAAAAUAGUUUAUUUUUAUGAGUGGUGGAUUUAAAAAACCUACAUUACUGUGACAAGAGUACCUUAAAACAUUUAAGUCUACAAAAGGCACUUAGGGACUUUAUAGCAAACUCUACACUUAUAAUGAAAAGCCAGACCAGAUCAUUUUAAAAAAACGUUACUGCACGAGAUAAUGGCACAUCCACUCGUUCAAUUAACAUUUAUUGAGUGUCUUCAGGGGUUUUAGACUUGUGCAAUAAAAAUGAUAAAAACGUAUUCUUUGGUUUGAGCUGGUCCAUCCAAGGUCGUUCCAUAAAGAGCAGCUGUGUAUGCUGUUCAGACUAAUUGUGUGAAGCUGGAGAGGCCAGGUGUUUCUGUCUGGCCCAGCAGCUGCACUUUGCGGUAAGGGCACCACCUGAAUUUCAGUCUGGCCAUAAAAUGAGGCUGAAGAAACAGCACCUUGCAUGAGCUUUUAGGUGAAAGGCAGAACAG